UAUCGGGAAUUAUUGGGCGUAAAGCGUCCGCAGGCGGCCCAUCAAGUCUGCUGUUAAAAAGUGGAGCUUAACUCCAUCAUGGCAGUGGAAACUGUUGGGCUAGAGUGUGGUAGGGGCAGAGGGAAUUCCCGGUGUAGCGGUGAAAUGCGUAGAUAUCGGGAAGAACACCAGUGGCGAAGGCGCUCUGCUGGGCCAUAACUGACGCUCAUGGACGAAAGCCAGGGGAGCGAAAGGGAUUAGAUACCCCUGUAGUCCUGGCCGUAAACGAUGAACACUAGGUGUCGGGGGAAUCGGCCCCCUCGGUGUCGUAGCCAACGCGUUAAGUGUUCCGCCUGGGGAGCACGCACGCAAGUGUGAAACUCAAAGGAAUUGACGGGGGCCCGCACAAGCGGUGGAGUAUGUGGUUUAAUUCGAUGCAACGCGAAGAACCUUACCAGGGUUUGACAUCCUGCGAAUUUCUGGGAAACCGGAAAGUGCCUUCGGGAGCGCAGUGACAGGUGGUGCAUGGCUGUCGUCAGCUCGUGUCGUGAGAUGUUGGGUUAAGUCCCGCAAUGAGGGCAACCCACGUCUUUAGUUGCCAGCAUUCAGUUGGGCACUCUAGAGAGACCGCCGGUGAUAAACCGGAGGAAGGUGUGGAUGACGUCAAGUCAUCAUGCCCCUUACAUCCUGGGCUACACACGUACUACAAUGCUACGGACAAAGGGCAGCAAACUCGCGAGAGCUAGCAAAUCCCAUAAACCGUGGCUCAGUUCAGAUCGUAGGCUGCAACUCGCCUACGUGAAGGAGGAAUCGCUAGUAAUCGCAGGUCAGCAUACUGCGGUGAAUACGUUCCCGGGCCUUGUACACACCGCCCGUCACACCAUGGAAGUUGGCCACGCCCGAAGCCGUUACUCCAACCCUUGUGGAGGAGGACGUCGAAGGUGGGGCUGAUGACUGGGGUGAAGUCGUAACAAGGUAGCCGUACCGGAAGGUGCGGCUGGAUCACCUCCUUUCUAAU
rnacentral:rRNA from 1 species